AUUAGAACCAGAAGAUUACUCUGGCUUUUAAUUCUGCCUUCUGCUGAGAAAACUGUCUGUCAUGGUUUCAGAGAACUAUAUCGCUCUUACUAUGUAUGUAGCCAUCAGCUAACUGAUCAUUGGAAUCCCUGAGCCCUGGGGGUAGAAUAUGUUGGAGCGUUUUAUCUUACUUGACUGUCAUUUUCAAUUUCUCUUCAAGGUGUUUUGGGUUUUUUUUUUUUUUAAUUUUAAAUUAUUCUUGGUUUAGCCUCCCAGUUGAUUGAGUUUGUGAACUUGUUUGCUUAACUCAACAAUGUGUAAAAAUUCCUAUUUGUAUGAGCAAUAUGUCUAGCAUAUAACUUUCCAUUAACUCAACUUGCACAUAUCUUUUGUGUUGUGGUUAAGAAUGAAUCAUCCUCCCCUGUAUUGCUAAAGCCAAUAUACACAAACAUAAUUUGCUUAGACACUGACCCUUCUUAUUAUCACUGAAUUGUCUUUCCACUAGAAAGUGAGAGAGCUUGGUUGGGGGUGACCGGGAAGACUUUUGUUCCACUAACUGCCCAUGGCCAGAGAAGUGUGAAGGCUCUGAUCAUAGACUCUCUGGUUAAUGACUCAUUCUCCUAACUGAGUUGAAUAGCAAAAAAAAAAAAAAAAAAAAAAAGUCCCGAUUGGGGUUGCCAGCAAAUGCAGAUAUCAUGGUGCUUGAAUGAAACAAGACAGAGAUACGUUGACCACCACAUGCAUAAAAGGCAAUGAUAGCUAUUGUUAUGAACGGUAACGAUUCUGACUUACAUUAACGUCCAGGUGGAGGCUCUUCCUCUCUCAGGCCAAGGAUGCACUGUUAAAAAUACAUUUUUAUUUCCUACGGAACAAAGUGGGCUUUGUACAUUUGUUGGUGCCAUUUGUGGUGGAGAAGGACUUUCUCGGAUUGCUUUGGAAUGAUGAAGAGUGCGUCUCUCAUCCAAGAACUGAAAUGAUACGUUCAGAAUCCUGCUGCCGCAGAAGAACUCUGCCUGGCAAAGUUUGGAACCCUGGCUGCUUGAUCCCAGCACCCUAUCUGCAGACAGUGCCAUCCCCCAUCCAGGUCUUGGGCUAGAGAGUUACCGGUCAGGCAGCACAAAGGAAUGAACCUGCAUCUUAGCUCUCGUGGCAAGCCUUUGACUUCCUCACCCAGGCCAGAGAUCCUUUUCUAACUUCAGGGGCAAAAAAAAACAAACAAAAACAAAAAACUUUGCUCUGAGUGAAUAUUUUCUCCCAAAUCUGUUGACUACACCAUGAGUCUUUUCUAUUCCCCCAUUGUCUUGGUCAGUGCUACUUAAUAGAAAUAGAAUGUGAGCCACAAUGGUGAGCCAUAUACAUCACUUUCCAUUCAUUUUUUAAGAAACAAGUGAAAUUAAUUUUAACCAUAUGUUUUACUUAACCCAAUAAAAUACUAUCGUUUCAACA
rnacentral:lncRNA from 12 species